UACACUACACAUUCUAUCUACGUCCAUGAGGACUCAAGUCAACCAGUAUCAAAGGCAGUUCCAUAGUUGAGCUAUGGGAUUUCACCUGUGACUUAAUCGACCGCCUGCGGACCCUUUAAACCCAGGGAUUCCGGAUAACGCUGGGACCCUCCGUAUUACCGGGGCUGCUGGCACGGAGUUAGCCGGUCCUUAUUCUUACAGUACCGUCAAGCGGGUAUACAUACCAGUGUUUCUUCCUGUAUAAAAGUAGUUUACAACCCAUAGGGCAUUCUUCCUACACGCGGCAUGGCUGGAUCAGAGUCUCCUCCAUUGUCCAAUAUUCCUCACUGCUGCCUCCCGUAGGAGUCUGGUCCGUGUCUCAGUACCAGUGUGGGGGAUCUCCCUCUCAGGACCCCUACCUAUCGCUGUCUUGGUAAGCCGUUACCUUACCAACUAACUAAUAGGAGGCAUAGCCAUCUUUUACGGAUAAAUCUUUAAUUAUAAACUGAUGCCAGUCUAUAAUACCAUAAGGCAUUAAUCUUCAUUUCUAAAGGCUAUUCCUCUGUAAAAGGUGGGUUCUAUACGCGUUACGCACCCGUGCGCCGGUCGUCAUCUGUGCAAGCACAAUGUUACCCCUGGACUUGCAUGUGUUAAGCCUGCCGCUAGCGUUCAUCCUGAGCCAGGAUCAAACUCU
rnacentral:rRNA from 1 species